UACAGAGGUCCCAAGCGUUGUUCGGAUUCACUGGGCGUAAAGGGUGCGUAGGCGGUCGGGUAAGUCUGAUGUGAAAUCUCACAGCUUAGCUGUGAAACUGCAUUGGAUACUAUCCGGCUCGAGGAAUGGAGGGGAGACUGGAAUACUUGGUGUAGCAGUGAAAUGCGUAGAUAUCAAGUGGAACACCAGUGGCGAAGGCGAGUCCCUGGACACUUCCUGACACUGAGGCACGAAAGCUAGGGGAGCAAACAGG
rnacentral:rRNA from 1 species